UGAACCCAACGAGUUAUUAUUGCU
rnacentral:miRNA from 1 species